UCUAUUAUAUUUUCCGCCUGCGCGAGCUCAUCGGAAAAUGUUGACGCUUCAGGAGAAAUGACGCUGCUGCCAUCACUUGAACACCCCCCCCCCCCCAUCGUUCUUGUACGUGGAGCUCUCUAUUUUUGGCCUCCUCGGGACCAACAUACUGCGACCAAGUUAGUAGCGGAGUCUACCAAUGAGCGUUCGCAGAACGUUUGCCGGCGUUCGGCGGUUGCAAAAAGGAACGUGAAUACUGAAAUUUUAUUCGAAUUUAUAUUGGGGCUAGCAGGAAACCCCACAAUCAGUAAUCACGGUUAGUGAUCAGUUACAAAAUUUUGUCUCUAGAUUUUUAUUUACUUUUUCAAUGUUGGCGAGUCGCACUGCUUUGAUACAAAUGCAGAAAUUAGUGGUAUUAAUUAAAGGAUUUUUCUUGUAAUAGAUAUUUGCAAAGGGUGAGUCCGGAUUCCGUCCCGAAGACUCCGAAUAGCGUCCGGCGGGACUCUCCGAACUGCGUCCCAGAUCGCGUCCAUUUAAUUCUUAAGAAAAACGUGUAAAUGACAACGUUGCUCACCUUUUUCUCGUGUUGAUACCAAUGUCCGGACAGUAGAAUAAAUAAAUAGGAAUAGAGCGGUGAGUGGUAGGGUUCGGUUGACAUAAAGUUCCCAUAUCACAAAAACCGUUUGGCGAAUGGAGAUCAAGAGAGUCUCGUCAUAAACUUUAAAACAAACAAUCCUGGGUGUAAAGGGCUCUUCGUCGGAAAGGCCCCUUCCGUCACGGUACUUUCACUUGAAAAAUUACUUUCUUACCGGCAAAAUAUGUCUGCUGCUGUUUUUUUUUACAAAGUUGCUGACUUUUUGUCUCGUCAAAACGUUAUCGUCAAGUUUUUUGGUAAUUGUGUUUCGUAUUAGAUUCAAUAAUUUCGCCAUCGAUACUAACUUUUAAAAAACACCGGGAAUUUUCACUGAACAUGACCGAUCAUCAUCGAUUGACAUCGCCUUUCAAAUGCGGUGUUGCCGCCUUCCCGAUAUAUUCGCCGGACGCAAUUCGAAUAGAGCUUGGGACGCAAUUUGGAGUGGCCAGGGACGCAAUUCGGAUACAGCCAUUUGCAAAGUAUUACGUCAUUAUUUAACGGUCACUGUUUGUUAAAAACCAAUAAAUAUUGGUGAAGUUCACGUGCGCCGGUACUUGCCAAGUGAUAAUAGACGCUUAAUGGUCUGUGAAGCAUAUUAUUGA
rnacentral:lncRNA from 1 species